UUUUAAAAAGUGGCUUUGUGUGCUUUCUCUAUCCCUGAAAGUGGUCAAGUACUGCUCGACAUUCUUCAUUCUUGCUGUUGGUCAAUAUGUUGUACUUUUUUCUUUCAGAAAGGAUAAGUUCCUCUUUUGUCAGAUUUUGGUUGGAGAUAGAAGGAUAAGAAAUAGACCAUCAUGUCUCCAUUAGUCUAAACAUGAGACUUGUCAUCGUUUACACAAAAUCUGCCUUCACACCUGUAUUUGUGGCAGUGAACUAUCUGAACAGAGUCCUGAUUCUUACAUGUGCUGAACAGAUUCUCUUGAAGAUUAUUUCUUGUUACAAUUCCUAACUUUCAUUUGCAUUGGGAUUCUGUGUGAGAUAUGUUUUGGGGGCUCUCAAAGAUUUCUGGAAGAAGAAGACAAACUUGCCUUUGGGGGAUUCUGGAUUACUUGCAAUCUCACAAUUGCUAUGAGGUUUCCCACCCAGCAAGCUUCCUAGUUUUUCAGGGGUUCUUUCUUCUGGUUUGAUGUGCUUGUUUAAAAGACAAAA